rnacentral:rRNA from 1 species
GUAGGGUGCAAGCGUUAAUCGGGAAUUACUGGGCGUAAAGCGUGCGCAGGCGGUUUUGUAAGACAGUGGUGAAAUCCCCCGGGGCUCAACCUGGGGAACUGCCAUUGUGACUGCAAGGCUGGAGUGCGGCAGAGGGGGAUGGAAUUCCGCGUGUAGCAGUGAAAUGCGUAGAUAUGCGGAGGAACACCGAUGGCGAAGGCAAUCCCCUGGGCCUGCACUGACGCUCAUGCACGAAAGCGUGGGGAGCAAACAGGAUUAGAUACCCUGGUAGUCCACGCCCUAAACGAUGUCAACUGGUUGUUGGGAAUUAACUUUCUCAGUAACGAAGCUAACGCGUGAAGUUGACCGCCUGGGGAGUACGGCCGCAAGGUUA